rnacentral:rRNA from 1 species
GACAGAGGUGCCGAGCGUUAGGCGGAAUCACUGGGCUUAAAGCGUGUGUAGGCGGGUCGUUAAGUGUCUUGUGAAAUCCCACCGCUCAACGGUGGAACUGCUGGGCAUACUGGCGAUCUUGAGCCACCUAGGGGCAGACGGAACAAGCGGUGGAGCGGUGAAAUGCGUAGAUAUCUGGAGGAAUACCGGUGGCGAAGGCGGCAUCCUGGACCGGCAUUGACGCUGAUGAGCGAAAGCGUGGGUAGCAAACAGG